AGUACACACAGACUCUCUGGAGCCUCCCAUGUAAAUCCUGGCAGGACGCAGCCAGCUCUGAGCUCAUUCACGUCAUUAAGACAGAUGUUAAGGAAUGGCCUAGGCAGUGUCCCCUUGGAUAUUCCCGCCACCUCCAGCCUCUGCAAGCCUGGGGCACAGCCAAAGUCAUGGAUUUGCUGGAGAUGUGGAAUGAUGUGGCCUGUUCCAGAGAGCAGCGGGAAGGCAGAGCCAGGAGGGAAUUCAGCCUCUCUCACCCAUUUCUGUGGCCUCAUUCAUUGAAGCCAAUGUUCCUCCCCUCGCAGAGGUCUGGGGGAAAGGGAGCUGCUCCAGUGAGGAUGUUUGGGAUUAAACCUCUACUCCAGUUCCAUUAAAGCUCCUG